AUUGAACGCUGGCGGCAUGCCUUACACAUGCAAGUCGAACGGUAACAGGUCUUCGGAUGCUGACGAGUGGCGAACGGGUGAGUAAUACAUCGGAACGUGCCUAGUAGUGGGGGAUAACUACUCGAAAGAGUGGCUAAUACCGCAUGAGAUCUACGGAUGAAAGCAGGGGAUCGCAAGACCUUGUGCUACUAGAGCGGCCGAUGGCAGAUUAGGUAGUUGGUGGGAUAAAAGCUUACCAAGCCGACGAUCUGUAGCUGGUCUGAGAGGACGAUCAGCCACACUGGGACUGAGACACGGCCCAGACUCCUACGGGAGGCAGCAGUGGGGAAUUUUGGACAAUGGGCGAAAGCCUGAUCCAGCCAUGCCGCGUGCAGGAUGAAGGCCUUCGGGUUGUAAACUGCUUUUGUACGGAACGAAAAGACUCUGGUUAAUACCUGGGGUCCAUGACGGUACCGUAAGAAUAAGCACCGGCUAACUACGCGCCAGCCGCCGCAGUAA
rnacentral:rRNA from 1 species